UACAGAGGUCUCAAGCGUUGUUCGGAUUCAUUGGGCGUAAAGGGUGUGUAGGUGGCGCCGUAAGUCGGGGUGUGAAAUUUCGGAGCUUAACUCCGAAACUGCAUUCGAUACUGCCGUGCUUGAGGACUGGAGAGGAGACUGGAAUUUACGGUGUAGCGGUGAAAUGCGUAGAUAUCGUAAGGAAGACCAGUGGCGAAGGCGGGUCUCUGGACAGUUCCUGACGCUGAGGCACGAAGGCCCAGGGGGAGCAAAACGGGGAUUAGAAAACCCCC
rnacentral:rRNA from 1 species